ensembl:lncRNA
AUCAACAAUGCAACAAAAUGAGUUGCAUGUUAAUUGAAAGUAAACUGGGUGUGGUAAAGUGACAGGUUAUGAAAAUGUUCCAGACAAAAAAACAAGGAGUGUCUGGGGAGUCAUGCUCUAAUAAUGACACUGAAUAUUUUUACAACAGCGCUGUAUAUAAAUAUAAGGUGUGAAUUGCUACUUUUUAGUUGAGUUCUACAUUCAGGAAAACUCAGUUCUCACCUACUCAACAUGUUGAAGCUGAUCCUCUCUGUGACCGUCCUCUGGACAUUCUUCAGUCAAGCUGCAUCACUUGAUUGUCUAAGUUGCAAUGGUACAUGUUCAACUGAAACUACAGUUACAUGUUCUGCAGAAACUAUGUGUGUAACUGCCACCAUCACAGACAGAUUAAAUCCAUCUGACCCUCCACGAUUCUACAAAGGAUGUGCAUCAUCAGCUCUGUGUCCAAUCACAGGCUCUCAAACAUAUGAACUUAACUUGGGUUCUUCAGGUGCACUGAUAUCUGCUGAGUGCUGUAACACUGACGGGUGUAACAAUAAUACCUUACCUGCACAAACUGAGUCAACAUCUACAAAUGGUCUCAGGUGUUUCUUUUGUGCAAUGGGCCGAUGUGACAGUGUAUUCCUGUGUCGGGGAAACGAGACCUUGUGUAUUCAAGGAACAUUGAACGAAGAAAUUCGUGGCUGUGUAUCACAAAGUGUGUGUACUGCAAGUAGAAGGCUGGGAGAACUACCAUUAUUACCAGAGUUAGGAACCUUCAGCUCUGGACCAAACUGUUGUGAUACAGAUGACUGUAAUGAUGGAACUACAACUACCACACCUCCAACUACAACACCUGGAGGACUUCAAUGUCUAAGUUGCACUGGUUCAUGUUCAACUGAAACUACAGUUACAUGUUCUACAGAAACUAUGUGUGUAACUGCCGCCAUCACAGAGACAUCAGUUUUUUCAGCUGACACAACAAAAAUCCACAAAGGAUGUGCAUCAUCAGAUCUGUGUCCAAUCACAGGCUCUCAAACAUAUGAACUUAACUUGGGUCUUUCAGGUGCACUGAUAUCUGUUGAGUGCUGUAACUUUGAUGGGUGUAACAAUAAUACCUUACCUGCACAUACUCAGUCACCGACUCCAAGUGGUCUCAGUUGUUUCUCCUGUAUAUUCGGUCGAUGUGAUGGUUCGAUUGUCUGUAAGGGAGACGAGACCCUGUGUAUUCAAGGAACAUUGAACGAAGAAAUUCGUGGCUGUGUAUCACAAAGUGUGUGUACUGCAAGUAGAAGGCUGGGAGAACUACCAUUAUUACCAGAUUUAGGAACCUUCAGCUCUGGACCAAACUGUUGUGAUACAGAUGAAUGUAAUGAUGGAACUACAACUACCCCACCUCCAACUACAACACCUGAAAGACUCAGAUGUCAAAGUUGCAAUGGUUCAUGUUCAACUGAAACUACAGUUACAUGUUCUACAGAAACUAUGUGUGUAACUGCCACCAUCACAGACACAGCAUCUGGUUCAUCUGACACACGAUUCUACAAAGCGUGUGCAUCAUCAGAUCUGUGUCCAAUCACAGGCUCUCAAACAUAUGAACUUGACUUGGUUGUUUCAGGUGCACUGAUAUCUGCUGAGUGCUGUGACACUAAUGGGUGUAACAAUAAUACCUUACCUGCACAUACACAGUCACAGACUCUAAAUGGUCUCCGGUGUUUAUUCUGUGCUUUCGGCCGAUGUGAUCUUUCACUUGCCUGUAUGGGAGACGAGACGCUGUGUAUUCAAGGAACAUUGAACGAUGAAGCUUAUGGCUGUGCAUCACCAAGUGUGUGUACUGCAAGUAGAAGGCUGGGAGAAAUACCAUUAUUACCAGAGUUAGGAACCUUCAGCUCUGGACCAAACUGUUCUCAUACAGAUGUAUGUAGUGAUGGAACAACUACCACACCUCCAACCACAACGACCACACCUCCAACCACAACUACCACACCUCCAACUACAACUACCACACCUCCAACUACAGGUAUUCAGUUAAACAGCAGUGUUUAUUUGAUUUGGGUUUUGUUAUUUUAACAUAAAAGUGAUGGUUUUUGGGGGGAAUCUGCCUCUAGGUGGUCAGAUUUUUAAUGCAAAGGUGUGUUUUUUUUUAAAUGAAAAAAUUACUUUUUUUUUAAAUAAAAAAAUUACUUUUUUUUUAAAUAAAAAAAUU